AAGCAUCUUAUCAUGAAUCUCAGGUAUACGACAUAAUAAUGGUUUGUUUCAUGGUGUGGCUUACAUUGUAGCAUGGUUUUUGCUGUCUUAUUUUCUUGUUUUCAUUCAGCAAAUGAUUAUCAUCCAAUCCCAACCCAAAUGUAAAUGGAAGGGCUAAUAGGUUCAUAUAUCAGAAUUUUUAGUUUUAUCCAAUUCUUCUAAUUUUAUCAAUUGUAUAUAUACUAGACUUUAUAAUUGGUAGCAAUGGAAUUUUGGGUAGAAAUCAUACCACAAAAUAUGUCCACUCAGAGCCACAGAAUUGACAUGCCAAAAGGCCAAAACAGUUGCUUUAACUGAAUAUGAUUUCAACUGUUGACUAUGGCCUACUUGAGCCUCUCUAACCCUGUCAAUCCUCUGUUGUCUUUCUCUCUCUAGUAAGACGUAGCUUUUUUGAUGGUUACACAACUUAAGAGUUAGAUUCCUGUCAAAUAUUUCAAGUCAAACUCAGCCUGCUUAGCCUUGUUAACAUAUGAAUCCAGCCUCUAUUGCGAUGAUUGCUACCACUGAAUAUGUUUGCUACCAAUUAUCAAGAAUGACUGAAUGAGAUAAAAUUGAUAAUCGGAGUUGAAAUUCUUUUAAAGUUCAAGGUUUAUGGCCAUCAGCCCUAAAGGAAAAUACAACUGAUCAUUGUAAUUUUCAGUUGUGCGCUUGCUUUUGAACUGUGCCUUAUGAAGGCCACACUACUUCAGUAGGUUAAAGAAAUGACUGUUGAUUAUUCUUAUUCUGGCAGUUUUAUCAUCUUGUGGAACUAAAAGCACUUGGGCCCGUGCUAUUUAUUCGCCAUUGUGUAAAUGAGAUUAGUCCUCUGAAUUUCUUUAUGAUAAUGGACAUGCCAGAGGACUCUGCCUUUUUAAGUUCAGAUAAUUUCAGGGCUAGUGUGCUA
rnacentral:misc_RNA from 1 species